GGGAACUGAACACUCACAUGCCCCUGGGAAGCAGCCUUCAGCAAUUUGAGGGCGCUUUGUUUCUUACGUUGGGAGAGAAAUCCAUCAGGAAAUCGACGCCCAGGAUCAGAUGCAGAUCCUGGGAUCCUUGGCUCUGAGUAGCACGGUGGAAAAGUGAGGUAAUCCAGGCUCUGGGCCCGUUUUCCUAGGAGCCCAGGGCGCUUCACCUGUCUGCAGUCAGCCCCUUUCUUGGACGUCUCCUCCCC
rnacentral:lncRNA from 1 species